GCGAGCUGAAAAGUGGUGAAGGAGCGAUGGAGGAAGGGAGGAACGGAGAGGAGCAGGAAAGAGGCGACCGUAUGAGAUGUGUGGUGAUCAGCCUGCAGUUAAGGCCUGGGGCAUUUUGGGGGCUGAAGGCGGGGGCGGGAGCAUGUCAGCAUCUGGAGGUGAUGAAGGUGCAGGACGGACUACAGAGCAGCGCUCCAGAGGACUCCAGAACCCAGACACCCCACUCUGCCGUUCUGCAGCACUCUCUCGCCAUCUAGUGGUGAGACAUUGGAACAUCACAGCUUUUUUCAAUACAGUAUUUGGAGAGCAGUCGCAAAACUAAGGAAAAAGAUACUGUGGCAUGGAGUGUGUUGAAUUCCUGACGGUGUCCUGGUUGCUGCGGUAUUCAGGUUCAAAGGUUUAUAACCCAGUAUAGGUGGCUAGAACAGGGUGUUCAGGGUGCAGUCUGCUUUUAUUAAACCAGAUCACUAUAA